ensembl:lncRNA
UGGAAACGCCCUCUCCACUACUUGACACACGCUUCGAAGCCUCGGCAUAUCUCCUGCUGUGAGGGAACCGACGACUGAACCGGGCCAAGGAGAGACCGAACCUGCAACAGCUUCAUGAAGUCUCCUGGAUGGUUUUCCAAUAGCCUUGAAGAACUUCCCAGAGGUGCUGAGCAGCUGAUGGAGUUUCUCCUCAGUGGAGACGUUGAGGUGGAUGGAGGCUAUGCUGGAGUACCGGCUCCGUGUAACAGGAGGAGAUGACUGGGCCAUGUGGACCCUCGGUGCAGCGCUAAAAACAGCCUGACAGCUGUGUGUGAAGAGUGAGUAAAUGAAACUGAAACAGCACCUGACCAUGAGGUAGGUGGAGAGCAUUUCUGAGUGACAUGAAUAUUGGACAAUAAACACAUUAAAUAUAUUUAACACACGUUAGUGUGAUAUUUACUACACUGUUUGUAUUAUUAGCUUUGAAGUAUGUUGUUUUUUGAAAAGUGUCAGUCAAUGCCAGAAGCUUAAUCAACUAAAAGACAUUUUUUACAGAAGAAUCCAACCUUUCUUAUUUGUCUGAUAUUUAUCAAUUUCAUCAGUGUCAUAGUAACAUGUAUGCAUUUAAACUUACAAGAAGUGCAAGAAAAUACAACUUGGAAUUCAUUAUAUAACAGUUAAUAAUAAAUUAUUUAUCUAGCACCAAGUCCAAUUUAAGUUACAAAGUGCUUCACAUGGCAGCAAAAUAGGCAGACAAAAAGUCAUAAAUAGAAAUAAAACACAACAUGGUGUAAAUAACAGCACUGUUAACAGUUAAAACAUUAGUGUAGGAAAUAUAAAACAGUUCAAAGGAAAUUAAAAUUCUAGUAAAAUCAGGAAACACUCUCAGACAAGAGUAUGUUUUAAGAAGAGACUUAAGAAGAGAUCACUGUCUCUGCCAACCUUAUUUCCUUGAUCAUUCCAGAGCCUUGGGGCCCCGACUGCAAAUACUCUGUCCCCUCUAGUUUUCAGUCAGGCCCAAAAGACCUCCACCCAAAAGAUCUCAAGGCCCCUUUUCGACCAAGCAGUGCUGGUUCGGAGCCAGUGCCUGACUUAGCACCAGUUCUUUGUGUUUCCACCAACUAAGCACCGGCUCCCGGCUUCAAAAACUCCUGCUUUUCAGGCACCAACUCUUUGCUGGACCAGAGUUAAGAACUGAGUACGUCAUGGGCUGGGAGGCGCAGGGUUACGGUGACCAAUGCUCAACAACACAGAACCGCCAUUUUUAAACAGCAAAGUGAGUAGUAGUAGUAGUACUAGUGUUUAGUGUUAAUGUUUUGAAAACCGGUUAAUAUGGACACCAAAUCCAAGCAGCAGUGGUCUGAGGAGGAGACCCAGUGCUUGCCGACACUGUGGUCUUCAUAUGAAAUUCAGUUGAAGUCAGAGGGAGCCUCUCAGAACGAUCCAGUGGGAGAUGGCUGCAGCUGGGUACGAGCAGACCCUCGACUGACUUCUCAGUAAACUUAAAAAGCUCAAAAAUGACAACACGGACCGGAAAAGGGAGCUGGAAUGGAGCAGUGGUCGGCCCAAAAAGAGUCCCCAAGGGGUAAAACUGCAAACUGGUGCAUAUAAUGCUAAAAGGUUGGAUAUAUAACUAGGAGAGAGACCAUGAAGUGACUUAAAAUUAAUUAGUAUAAGUUUAAAUUCUAUCUUAAAACAUACUGAAAGCCAUUGUAAAGAGGCUAAAACAGUAAUAAUAGAAAUAGAAGCGUGCAAAAUGAUCUAUGUGUCUUUAAAAGGCAAAAUAGUUUGUAUUUUGGAAAUAUUGAGUGCUGCUUAAAACUUAGAUUACUGUUGAAGCAGAUUCUGAGAUUCCUUACGACAGGCUUAUCGAGAUCUAAAGAGAACCAGCUGAUGUUAGAAUCUGUCUGGCUAUGUGCUGCAAUCCAAUAGUGAGAAUGUGUGUUUUGUUUGAAUUUAGCUGAAGGAACUUAUUUGACAUCCAUUAAGAGAACUCAGCAUACUGGGCUCUGAGGAUCUAACAGACAGACAGUUAAGAGGACCGGUUACUCUAUUAUUUAAGCACUUUUACUGCAUGUUUGCUGUUUUUCCAGGUGUUUGAUGGGAAGUUGAUCCGUUUCAUCUGUGUGUGUUCAGUGGACAAACAAGGCUAGAUUCUCCCAGUAAAGAAGAGCUACAUCUUCUGGGAAUUUCAGUGAGGUCUUAUUUUUCUACUCCACUGACCUGCUACUCAUCCUAUAAAGUCUGUAUUUUGGAUCCAUUGAGUCUUGUUCAGAGUUUGGAAGUCAUUUUGCGGUGAGGAAUAGCUCUGAUGCCUCUUGAAUUCACAAUUUCUGCUGUCAAAUUUGUUAUGGGAAGAAUGUUGCACAACUCGUCAGAUUGCAGGCAACCUUUUAGAGAAGCCUCUACCAGCACUGUUGUUUUCUCUGCAGUUGUCUUUCUGGAGACAUAUGGAUCCUGCAGCUGUUUGAUGCUGCAGGUAUUCGAUGAACUCAAAACAGCUGGAAGCAACAGUCUAAACGUAAGCACAUGUUAAUGUUUUGUCAAAAAAAAGUGAAUUAUUUCUAUUAUUGUUGAAAAAGAUGUCAUUAAUCUGAGCUGUUAGUUUUUCUUCAUCACAGUAAUGUUUCAUUGUUAUGGACAUCUUAUUUUUUAGGCUAAUAGAUGAAUAAUUCUGUAGUAAACAGUACUGAUGAUAAAAAGUGGGAAAAGCCUUCCCUAAAGCACACAACUGAAGUCCUAUUGCUGGUGCGUCCCUCUUCAUUACUGAGACUGCAUGCAGUUCAAAGUUGUUAUGUGUUGAAAGGGAUGCUGAAAUGUUACUAGGUCCAGCUUUAAAGAGGCUAAAAUAAUAGGCGAUCGGGCAGCAUGUGCAGAACAAAAAAAGCACCAUUUACUAUGACAAAAAUAAGGCAUUUCCUUAAAAACAUCUACAAGUUAACCCUUUAAAGGGUACUGAAAAUUUCAACCCUAGAGUGGUAUUGGAGGACGUAAUAUUUUUUUAUUUUUGUGACAUUUUCCAGAAUUUUUAAUUUUCAUGUUGAAAUUCAAGGUCAGUGAAGUUACCAUAUAUGGUUCCUUGCCCUUUAGUGGUUAAAAAAAAAAAACUGUCCAAGAAAUGUAAGUAUCAUCACUUAGUACAACUACUCAAUUGUAAAAUUUGUGAAUUUCGUCAACUAACCAUGGUUAGUUUUGACGUUUCGACCGCAAAUAUGGAAGAGGCACCUGGUGGCGCAGCUUGGUACUCUAGCUACUGUACAAUACAUGUUCCGACAUGCAUGUAGAGAAUCCAGGUUUUACAUCUUUUGGAGUUUAGGGGGAACAUGCAGAAAUCCUUUUCUUUUUUCUUCAUGCAUUGCAGAACUGUUCAGUUCUCAAGCAUGGACACUGGACUGAUUUUAAGAACUUGAAUAACUUGAAUUGCGUGUUAUCUUACUAAUUACAUGGAUUGCAUCAGGGUCAAAAAAUAAUUCAUUGUGACGUCCCUAGUGCCAAUACAUGGCUGUCAAAUGCCAAAUUUGGAACAUAGGGUUGGUCAUAUAUCCUCACACAAUGAGUAGCGGCACUGAGCACACUGCCAGUAAGCAGCAAUCCAGUCAGAACUAAGAAAGAAAUUUUGCUGAAUAUUUAGGCUGCUUUCCAAAUCGCAUACUUUUUCUUUAACCUUUAGGUACCUAGCACAGCUGCCCUCACAAAUUACAUACUGUUACAUGCAUAUGCAUACAGUUAUUACAUACUACUUUGCCAUAAUAUUGUGCCUUAAACUUUGACCAAAUCCUCUGUCUAUCUGCAACUUAAGUUUGUUUAUACUUGUGUGAGACACCAGGACAUAUGUGACGCAACUAUGCAGAGGAUUGUAGGUCAGAAUGGUCAAAAAGCAUGCUGGCUUGCACAGUGCAAAGUGCAUGUAGACGUAGCAGGACAUGCUGGUAUUUUUGGCGUAGUGCAUUUGACAUAUGUUUUGGAAUAUACACAAAAGUUCAUAUACACUUGUAAUCUUCUAUUAUAGAUUAACUGAAACAUAUUUAUCUUUGUCAC